rnacentral:tRNA from 1 species
GCCGGGGUAGCUCAGUGGUCAGAGCAGUAGUUUUGUAAACUAUUGGUCGCGAGUUCGACUCUCGCUCCCGGCU